GUAGGUGGCAAGCGUUGUCCGGAAUUAUUGGGCGUAAAGCGCGCGCAGGCGGUUCUUUAAGUCUGAUGUGAAAGCCCACGGCUCAACCGUGGAGGGUCAUUGGAAACUGGAGAACUUGAGUACAGAAGAGGAAACGCGGAAUUCCACGUGUAGCGGUGAAAUGCGUAGAGAUGUGGAGGAACACCAGUGGCGAAGGCGGCUUUCUGGUCUGUAACUGACGCUGAGGCGCGAAAGCGUGGGGUAGCAAACAGGGAUUAGAUACCCUGGUAGUCCACGCCGUAAACCGAUGAGUGCUAAGUGUUAGGGGGUUUCCGCCCCCCUUAGUGCUGCAGCUAACGCAUUAAGCACUCCGCCUGGGGUAGUACGGCCGCAAGGCUG
rnacentral:rRNA from 1 species